rnacentral:tRNA from 1 species
CAAAGGAUAGUUUAAGUAAAGAUAUUAGUUUUGGGAAUUAAUGAUAAGAAUUUCUUUCCUUUGA